rnacentral:lncRNA from 1 species
GAUUGUUAAUUAAGUAUAACUGCCAUAGAGAAGGUCGAAACAACCAUUUAUACUUCACUCAAAUUUCCUCAUUAAAUCAUGAGUACAUAGAACAAAAAUACUAAUUCCCAAAUAAGAAUCUAUCUAGUAGCGGGUGUUUAGCAGCACCAGUAGUCAAAACAGUAGUCCCAGCAAUCAUAGAAGCAAGAACAACUGCAACACCAACAAAAUAGAUUAAACAAAAAUUAAAUUAAAUUAAAAAUUCAGAAAUUGUGUGUGUGGGGGGAAUCAAAUAAAAAUAAAUGGGUAUGGAGAGAGAGAGGUACUUAAUUACCAUUGAUUGAUGAGUUUGUCUUGUUCAUCGUCCUCAGCAAGGUUGGUUUUGCUUCUGCUGGAGUUAUCUAUGGAUUGGAUUGUAGGUGCAUCCAUUUUCUCUCUGUUUUAAUUCCUUACUUUUCUCUGAAAAUUUCUCUAGAGGCAGAGGGUUUUGUUUGUAUGUAUGUAUGUAUGUGUGGCCAACUGUUGCGACUUAUAAACGGCCUAUAUAUAAUUAUAGAUAGAAGACAAAAUAAAAAUAAAAAAAUGGUGAAUGGGCUAGGAAGAGGAAGAGGAAGAGGAAGAGGAAGAGGAAGAUGGAAUCACGUGAUUGCACUGGAAAUUAAUUUGCUAUUGCUAAACAAGGUAAGAAGGUAUUUUCAGCUACUAUUCGUUAUUACUCUUUAAUUUCUACACUUUAUUUAUUUAUUUACCUUUCACAAAUCAGGAAUUAAAAACCUCAAAUUAUGGCGGAGGAUUUGAUUUUGGACUGUAGACCAACAACUCAUUAAUUUCUUCUCCUUUGUUUUAGGACCAUUGGAGCAUAUUUUUAGUAAAAAAUGUCAAACCUUCGAAUUUAAAACAUUUUAUCACAAUUG